GUUUGGAUCAAUAUCGAAGGAUGAAAUGGUCAUUUCGUUCCAGGAAAUGGCCAUUCUUAAAUAUGGCGGGAUAAGCACUACCGCCCCUCACAAAUUUUUGAAUAAGCAUUACUGCCCUAAAAUCUUCUUACUUUCCUCUUCUUCUUCUCUCUUUAUCACAUCCGUGCACUCCUUGUUCUGCAUCCAUUUGCUCAAUCUUUGUAGCUUCGUCCUUGUUCCAUCUCCUUCUCUCUCUGCUUACAGUUCGUCAUGGCUUGUUUGAGUAGAAAUUAUGAAAGGAGAAAAAGAAUUGUAGAUGUGUUCACAGUUUGGUUGGAGAUGUGUAUUGUUGUUAGUCGGUUUCUGUUGGCAGCAGUGUCAUCUUACAUACUCAUUGGCCAAGUGAAUCUACUUCAGCAAGGAAGAAGAGAAGCACCAAUGAGAAUGCUGGAGUGAUUUCAACUGAAUCACUUAUUGAUGCUGCCAUGUUUUUGAGUGAUAAAAUAAGACAGGUUAAAAUUAAUUUGAGCCAAAGUAUUGGAACUGAAAUGAUCAUCCUACAAAGGGCGCAAGAGUAUGAUGCGGCAUUAGGCAAGAUCGAAGGUUUGACAGAGGAUGAAAGGGAUAUAGCUUUAAGCAAAUUAAAUUCCUGAUCAUCCAACCCAAAUGCUUGUGUUUUUCAGUCUUCUGCCUAGCCAAAGACUUAGAUGGGUUAGAAUGUUUCUUAGCAACCAUUUGCAGAGGAUACUUUCUUCUGCUUAUGGGACAGUGUUUAAAUACUGCUUCUGGGAUAAUCUUAUUUGAUUGUCUUAUUUAAGUAGAAUUGUAGGAUUGUAGGGUUGUAGAAUUGUUAAUGUUUUGGGAAUUGAAUUGUAGAAUUGUCCUUUUGUUAA